AGGUUUUGGACUUACUUGGGACCCAGGUUAUCUUUGAAGAGUUCCUCUGGAAUCUUUGCUGAACUCAAAGAGGAGACCUUCAGGUUUUCAGAGCUUCCCUCCUUCCUCCAUGGGUUCCAUGGAAAGAGAGAAAGAGAAAAAUAUCUGUUCAACAAGACUGUCACACUUUGUCACACUUUGAAUCCUAAUUUUCCUGAACCUAACCACGUAAGCAAUUCUCAGACUCCUUUAAGAAGCCA